UGGGGAAUAUUGCACAAUGGGGGAAACCCUGAUGCAGCGACGCCGCGUGAGUGAAGAAGUAUUUCGGUAUGUAAAGCUCUAUCAGCAGGGACGAUAAUGACGGUACCUGACUAAGAAGCCCCGGCUAACUACGUGCCAGCAGCCGCGGUAAUACGUAGGGGGCAAGCGUUAUCCGGAUUUACUGGGUGUAAAGGGAGCGUAGACGGCUAAAUAAGUCAGAUGUGAAAGCCCAGGGCUCAACCCUGGGACUGCAUUUGAAACUAUGUAGCUAGAGUGCAGGAGAGGUAAGUGGAAUUCCUAGUGUAGCGGUGAAAUGCGUAGAUAUUAGGAGGAACACCAGUGGCGAAGGCGGCUUACUGGACUGUAACUGACGUUGAGGCUCGAAAGCGUGGGGAGCAAACA
rnacentral:rRNA from 1 species